rnacentral:rRNA from 1 species
GACGUAGGGCGCAAGCGUUGUCCGGAUUUAUUGGGCGUAAAGAGCUCGUAGGCGGCUCGUUGCGUCGGCUGUGAAAACCCGCAGCUCAACUGUGAGCUUGCGGUCGAUACGGGCAGGCUAGAGUUCGGGUAGGGGAGACUGGAAUUCCUGGUGUAGCGGUGAAAUGCGCAGAUAUCAGGAGGAACACCGGUGGCGAAGGCGGGUCUCUGGGGCCGAUACUGACGCUGAGGAGCGAAAGCGUGGGGAGCGAACAGG